rnacentral:misc_RNA from 1 species
AAGAUAUUGAAGGUAGAAAUAACAAAAACCUAUUUAUGUCAUUUUUGUUAAAUCAAUUCAUAACAAGUCUGUAAAAUUAUUGGGAAAUUUCAUUUCUUGUCUAGUAAUAUGUUAUUGAGGGGUACAGUUUAUUGGCAGUUCGUUCUAUAUUUCAUGUUAUAUGAAGCACUAAUGCUCACAACUUCUUGCUGAAGGUGCCAUUGAUUCUGUGUUUCUAAUGCAAAUGUUCUAUAUUCAAAUCUUUACCAUUUGAUCUAGGAUUGCAUAAAUGAAGCUAAUAAUGAAGGGAUUAUUUCUCUAGGGGCUUAAAAUCAUUAUCAUGGGUAAAAGGGUUUGGGUUAAUACAGUUGAGUACACAAGUUUGAUAUUUAUAGUUCUAGGGGAACUGUGAAGUUUAAAAAGUUGAAUCAAACAACUUAAGAUUGGAAGCUGAUUUCUAAUGUUGGAUCUCCCAUUUAAUGUAGAUUUGGUGUAUGCUUGAGUGGAUAUGGA